UACGGGGGGGGUAAGCGUUGUUCGGAAUUACUGGGCGUAAAGGGCGCGUAGGCGGCCUGUUAAGUCGAACGUGAAAUCCCCGGGCUCAACCCGGGAACUGCGUCCGAUACUGGCAGGCUUGAAUCCGGGAGAGGGAUGCGGAAUUCCAGGUGUAGCGGUGAAAUGCGUAGAUAUCGGGAGGAACACCAAUGGCGAAGGCAGCUCGCUGGGACGGUACUGACGCUGAGACGCGAAAGCGUGGGGAGCAAACAGG
rnacentral:rRNA from 1 species